AGUGAACGCUGGCGGUAGGCCUAACACAUGCAAGUCGAACGGCAGCACAGUAAGAGCUUGCUCUUACGGGUGGCGAGUGGCGGACGGGUGAGGAAUACAUCGGAAUCUACUUUUUCGUGGGGGAUAACGUAGGGAAACUUACGCUAAUACCGCAUACGACCUACGGGUGAAAGCAGGGGAUCUUCGGACCUUGCGCGAUUGAAUGAGCCGAUGUCGGAUUAGCUAGUUGGCGGGGUAAAGGCCCACCAAGGCGACGAUCCGUAGCUGGUCUGAGAGGAUGAUCAGCCACACUGGAACUGAGACACGUCCCAGACUCCUACGGGAGGCAGCAGUGGGGAAUAUUGGACAAUGGGCGCAAGCCUGAUCCAGCCAUACCGCGUGGGUGAAGAAGGCCUUCGGGUUGUAAAGCCCUUUUGUUGGGAAAGAAAAGCAGCAGGUUAAUACCCCGCUGUUCUGACGGUACCCAAAGAAUAAGCACCGGCUAACUUCGUG
rnacentral:rRNA from 1 species